rnacentral:lncRNA from 1 species
UAAAAGUUUUCCCUCGUGUCGCCCUCCUCCCGGCGGCGCGAGGGGAUACAACCCUAGAUCUCCAGCGUCUCCCACCUACUCUCCCUUUUCUCCUUGCCGCCUCCCGAGGCAACUGUCGAGCAAAGCCGUGCGGUUGUCGGUGACGGGGGCGGCGGGGAUUUCCCCACGGCGGAGGUAGCCGACACGCUUUGAGCGCGGUGGUCGUAUGUGUCGUGUGAGUAGAAGGGAUCCAUCUGAGUGCAUGUUGCCGUCUUAUACUGCAUGUGUGGUGAUCAGAUUGGAUCUAGCCUAUUCUUCCCUUGAACGGGCCGAUAUGGCCCUUAUGGUACAACAACAGUGUGGCGGCGCUCGAGAUGCUACGAGGCGGCCGGUGCGUGGAGCAUGGCUCUACAGGCCGCCAAGUAGUGCUUGUGUGGCUCGCCCGCGAGCCCGAUCUGGGACCAAGCGAGUUGUGGUGUUCGGAUGGUGUAUCUUGUGGCUGAUGGUGGUAAUGUUCUUUCCAGUGUGUUCUUAAUUAGUCAACUGACUGGAUAUGGCAUCAUGGACGUUUGCGUAUCAGUUCUUUGUUGAAUGUAUCAGUUUUAUCAGUUCUUUGUUGAAUAUGUCAGUUUGAAAUUCUACUUCAAGGGUGAUAGCUCCAGUUUGAUUUGUGGUAAGAUCCGCCAACAUAGUUGUACCAGCGAUAAUUUCUUCUUGAAGUUAUGAUCUUGGAGAGUUGCACUCUUUGUCGUCUCAUAUGUCACUCGAUUGGCGGAUUAUGGUCCGAUGUCACAAGGUUUGUUGUAGGAUUUUGGAGAAGUUAUCGUGAGGCAUCUCCUAUGUGGAUCUCCUUGUUUUUCCUUUCCUUCUGCGUAAGCCAAUUUGUUUGGCAUCAGUGCUUGGCAGUAGUUUGCAUAACAAGUUAAAU